rnacentral:rRNA from 1 species
AUAGUGGCGCACGGGUGCGUAACGCGUGGGAAUCUACCCUUGGGUCCGGAAUAACUCAGAGAAAUUUGAGCUAAUACCGGAUGAUGACGUAAGUCCAAAGAUUUAUCGCCCAAGGAUGAGCCCGCGUAGGAUUAGCUUGUUGGUGAGGUAAAAGCUCACCAAGGCGACGAUCCUUAGCUGGUCUGAGAGGGUGAUCAGCCACACUGGGACUGAGACACGGCCCAG